rnacentral:rRNA from 1 species
UACAGAGGCCUCGAGCGUUGAUCGGAGUCACUAGGGCUUAAAGGGUGCGUAGGCGGCGCUGCAAGUGCCUUGUGAAAUCCCAUGGCCUAACCAUGGAACGGCUCGGCAGACUGCAGUGCUUGAGGUCGGUAGAGGUCGCUGGAACUCUAGGUGGAGCGGUGAAAUGCGUAGAUAUCUAGAGGAACGCCAAUGGUGAAGACAGGCGACUGGGCCGAUUCUGACGCUGAGGCACGAAAGCGUGGGUAGCGAACGGG